GGGGUCUAAGGCGGCUCCGCGCAGGCAGCGCCGGGGUGACCACGGAAGCGAGCCGCCGCGCAGCCAGAGCCGCCACCCACCCGGUGCUCCCGCUCGGCAGCGUUGUCAGGAGUGAGACUGAAGAAUAAUGUAUGAAAGUUAUUGACAUCAUGACAACCAUCCGACACAGAAAGGGAAUAAAAGUCACAGAAGUUGCUGAAGAUCUGACACAAGAGAAAAAUGUGAAGCCUGAUGGAAAAGUUCAAGCUGGGUCACAUUUUCAGUCUGCAACCUCAGAUUUUGUGCCUGCAAAAUUGGGUCCACCUGCAUUUGUG
rnacentral:lncRNA from 1 species